AUGUGUAUUGAUGUAUAUACAUGUACUUCAGGUAACAAGAAAAGAACACAAGUCAUAAAGAGAAAACACACCAAAAUGUACAAUAUAGGAGGGAGGCAGUGCUUGAAGUUGUCGUGGUUAUCUCACGGGCGGGUUCGCGAGACGACAGAUGCCAUGGGGUGGCUUGAUGUGAGGGCAAGACUGCUGUGGAGAUCAGGGGACGAGAUUGGGCAAGCAGCACACGGUGAUUUACCCAGGUUCAGAGCUCUCCGGAGAGAUAAUACCCCUGUAUACGUAGCAGUACAGAGUUGCUCCUGGAGCUGUACCCAGAGGAGGAGGAAGGAGGCUAGGAGCGCUCCUCUUCCCUGCCUCAUGUGUGAGUGUGUGGCGUGA
rnacentral:rRNA from 1 species